UGGGUAACCUGCCUCAAAGAGAGGAAUAGCCUCCCGAAAGGGAGAUUAAUACCGCAUAAUAUGUUUAGGUCGCAUGACUUUAACAUCAAAGGAUUUUCUUUUAGAAAUUCCACUUUGAGAUGGACCCCGCGGCGCAUUAGCUAGUUGGUGAGGUAACGGCUCACCAAGGCAACGAUGCAUAGUCAACCUGAGAGGGUGAUCGGCCACAUUGGAACUGAGACNCGGUCCAGAUCCGUACGGG
rnacentral:rRNA from 1 species